rnacentral:rRNA from 1 species
UACGAAGGGGGCUAGCGUUGCUCGGAAUCACUGGGCGUAAAGAGCUCGUAGGCGGUCUGUCACGUCGGCUGUGAAAUCCCGAGGCUCAACCUCGGGUCUGCAGUCGAUACGGGCAAACUAGAGUAUUGCAGGGGAGACUGGAAUUCCUGGUGUAGCGGUGAAAUGCGCAGAUAUCAGGAGGAACACCGGUGGCGAAGGCGGGUCUCUGGGCAAUAACCGACGCUGAGGAGCGAAAGCGUGGGGAGCGAACAGG